rnacentral:lncRNA from 1 species
UCCUCGUGCCGCACCCUUCGACCAAUCAAAUGGACGCCUCGGGUGCGUCCCCGCCCAGCGCGGCAAACUGUGUUGCGCGUCUUGAGAACCGCAUUGUGCUGCUAAAAUAAAGUAGUUUAGUUACUAGUUCAGUGUUAGUUACUCACUCUGGGUUGCUAGGUGAGCUAGUUGAAGAUUAUUUACGUGUAUAUCCGCAGUUUCGGAGCUUUAAAUUUGCAGUUAAUCAUCAGGAAAACAAAGAGCAAGAGUGAAAAGUGAACGCGGGGAUUUAAACUUUAGCUAACAGCAUUAGCAGCAGAUGCUAACAGGGCUAAGCUGUGAAACCAUGGGAGCAGUUUGGCAACCGCGACGUGUCCUGGUGGAAAUACCUGCACCACAGCCUAAAAGCACAGCUCGAGUGAGAAGAUCCUAUUUGGAGAUCCUGAGUGCUCGCAUCGCUCCAUCACCUUUAAGAACCAGUAACCAACCUGGCAACGCCAAGCGCAGCCAAUCACUAGACUUUCCCGUGGGCGGCGUGUUGAGGGCCCGUCUGGACGACCGACCCACUGCGCUCUCCACCCAGCAGCUGGUGCAGCUCUUCAGAUCCCUGGUCCUCGUUGAACUGAACAAAGAACCCAGAGCUGUGACAUCAGACAUGAAACAUCUGCAGGACGAGCUCCAGCUGAAGAAAACCAACGUGUUCAGAUCCAUCCCGUACUCACGCUUCUGCUCCAACAGAGACGCUCACUGCUACAGGAAGGCCUACCCCCACCUAGUGGCCUUUAAGGUGUCGUGUGAGGAGUGGGGUCGGGUUCUCCUCAGGAAGCGACAGUGGGAUCAGGUUCUGGAACAUUCUCUGAUGGCGUGGAGAUUGACCAGUGAGUUGCCGCGCUGGGACACGGAGAGUCACAACGUCCUCAGAGAGCAGUGCUACGGCGUCCUGACGUCACACAUCCUCACCGCGCUGCGGCAUCACCGACCCACGGACCAUAGGGGGAGAGAACUGCUCAUCAGGUUGAAAAAUGCUGAACUGCUGAGUCACUGCAUGGCUCCGUGUGUUCAGGAGCUGCAGAAAAUCCUCCAAAGUUCUUCAGACCAACAUGACGACGCUGCUCAUUGAGGACAAACGAUCCAGAAUAACAACAGUGUCGGGCUAGAGGGGGCGUGGUCAUAGAGCGUGUGACGACAGGAAACAGGAAGCGUGCGUCCCUGAUGUUCUGACUGAAGAAAGCCUCCCGUGGACUUUUAAAACAAAAAGUAUGAAAUUAAAGUUGCCGUUUGCGUUGCUUUCCAUGAAUGUGUGUGUGUGCUUGAGAGAGAAUAUGUGAAGCCUUUUAACACGUGUGUGUGUUUGUUUUGUAUGAUUGUCGUCGUUUGCACUGUCGUCGUCGUUUCUCCUGAAAACUUGAAUUUUUUUGAUCAAAUGGAC